AACGUAGGAGACAAACGUUAUCCGGAGUUACUGGGCGUAAAGGGCGUGUAGGUGGUUAUGUAAGUCUGGCGUGAAAUUUUUCGGCUUAACCGGGAAAGGUCGUCGGAUACUGCAAAACUAGAGGACGGUAGAGGCGUGUGGAAUUCCGGGUGUAGUGGUGAAAUGCGUAGAGAUCCGGAGGAACACCAGUGGCGAAGGCGACACGCUGGGCCGUACCUGACACUGAUGCGCGACAGCAUGGGGAGCAACAGG
rnacentral:rRNA from 1 species